GUUAGUAUCAAAGACUAUAUGUGUUGAUGCAGUUCUUACUGAAACUGGAAAACCAAUUUCCAGAAAAAUACAAAUUAAUGUUGGUACAUAAGCCGUUUGACCAACAUUUAAAUAAUUUACAGGAAGCCUGACAUUUUAUUAUAUAAAAGUGGUUCUCUAGAUUGAGUUUCAACAAACUGAAUAGAUUUGAACUCUUUAAACAUACAGAAAGUGUAUGAAAAUACUUUUAGUACAGACGUCUCCUUCUGUUCACUGCUAUCUCAUUAUACGUCUGUACAGGUCAUGUUGUGAAUGGCACAAAAUAGUGUCAAUAGAUGCAAAGAGAGCUGAAUUUAUGGCCUCUGCGCCCUCAGAUCUGGAUGAGUAAUGACAUAUGUAUAACCAAAUAUUCAAGCGUUAGAGGAAGAGGCCAAAUUCUUUGUUUGUUUGAACAAACGUGGUGAAUGAAGUAGAUUCUGAAUCGGAUUUACAUGAAGACAAUGAGGUUUUACAGAGAAAUCUGGACUUCCUACAAUACACUAUCUUUGGGUUAAUUUCUUCUGGAUCGUCAGUUGUAGGAUCUUCAAUACUGGCAUUCUGUAACAUUUAUGUAAAAGUGUGUCACCCGUUUUACAUCAUUGGUCUUUACACACUGACCCAAGCAAGACAGAAAAACCCUGCACCAAAAAAUGAUCUCAAAUGAAGGCCAACAUUUCUUGAUGAUUAACAUUCAACACUCUUGGACUUUGUAAAGGUAGCUGCUGUGACCACGAAAUAAUUUGAUAGAUUCUGCUGUAAUUUGGGAGACUGUGAAUCAAGUGUGGACAUUAGAGAAAAUGCUCCAAUAUUUUCUUUUAUUUUCCUCAAACUAUUUAUUCAGGAAAUUCAAGUUGCACAUCAGUUAAUUUCAUGCCUCUAAAUAUGAUCUAAAAGUGCUUUAUUUCUUAUUAGGGAGGCCCGAGAUAACGUCCAGCGGUGUGGUUAAGGUCCAUAAAGUCACUACAGGAGAAACAUUUGGAGCAGAUGAAGAUCUACUGAGACAAACAACAGUUGGGCUACAUGUGGAGUACACAAGGCCAGAGGAGAGUGAUGUCAUCAUUGUCUUCUGUCCAAUCAGCUCUCGUGUUGGGUCAGAUGUGGAAGCAGCCAUGAGGAAGGUUCCAGAUGAUAAAAAGAUCAUUCUGGUUGUGAUGCAUCACACCCGAAAUGUCAACUACUCAACCGUUGGGAGAAGGUGGUCUGAGACCUUCAGGAAUGUUGUCCUGGAUGUUGAUGUCCUCUUCCACGAGACUGUACCAGGACUACUGAAAUGUGAUGAAAACAGGAAGGCCGUCCUCCAAAUACAGGAAUCUUUAGGUCAGUAUAAUAAUAGUGUUGGCAUUUCUGAUAACAAGAGAAAGUUAGGACCUGAGACUCGGUCAGAAUCAGUCUCUGACAGCAGCAGCAAAGGUAGGAAUCCAGAUUAAUGCAAGUUCUAGUGUUAACUGCAUGUUUUAUACUUAUAAACUGGUCAAAUGUUUUAUCUUUUAUACAUUUGGAACAAUUUAAUUUCUUGAAUAUUAAAAUGAGAUUUAUCACAGAAAAAAAACAAUGAAAAAUGCAGAUCAAAGAAAAACAAAAAUAAAGUAGUAUUUGAUGAAGUUGUUUUGUUCGAUAAAGAAAGUAACUGUGUUUUACAUGUCAUGGCACUCAUCUUCUACAACUUUCAUAAUUUAAGUUAUAUGACUUUUAAAUUGGAACAUUUAAAGGAAGUUUAUUGAUU